rnacentral:rRNA from 1 species
GGUUUGGUGUUGAGCGAUACGCUGGGUUUGCUUGAAAGAAAGGCGGAGUAUAAACUAAGGAUAGGUUUUUUCCACUCAUUGGUACAAACUCCAAAACUUCUUCCAAAUUCGACCUCAAAUCAGGUAGGACUACCCGCUGAACUUAAGCAUAUCAAUAAGCGGAGGAAAAGAAACCAACAGGGAUUGCCUUAGUAGCGGCGAGUGAAGCGGCAAAAGCUCAAAUUUGAAAUCUGGCACUUUCAGUGUCCGAGUUGUAAUUUGAAGAAGGUAUCUUUGGGUCUGGCUCUUGUCUAUGUUUCUUGGAACAGAACGUCACAGAGGGUGAGAAUCCCGUGCGAUGAGAUGUCCCAGACCUAUGUAAAGUUCCUUCGAAGAGUCGAGUUGUUUGGGAAUGCAGCUCUAAGUGGGUGGUAAAUUCCAUCUAAAGCUAAAUAUUGGCGAGAGACCGAUAGCGAACAAGUACAGUGAUGGAAAGAUGAAAAGAACUUUGAAAAGAGAGUGAAAAAGUACGUGAAAUUGUUGAAAGGGAAGGGCUUGAGAUCAGACUUGGUAUUUUGUAUGUUACUCUCUCGGGGGUGGCCUCUACAGUUUACCGGGCCAGCAUCAGUUUGAGCGGUAGGAUAAGUGCAAAGAAAUGUGGCACUGCUUCGGUAGUGUGUUAUAGUCUUUGUCGAUACUGCCAGCUUAGACUGAGGACUGCGG